UUGAUUGAGAUAUGACAAAUUCAGGGACAAAGUGUGCGUUUCGAUAAAUUGGGGGACAUUUUUGUCCGAUUCGUGCAAAUUCAGGGACGAAUUUGGAUAUUCACUCUA
rnacentral:pre_miRNA from 1 species